AGAGUUUGAUCCUGGCUCAGAACGAACGUUGGCGGCGUGGAUUAGGCAUGCAAGUCGAACGAGAAAGUUUCCUUCGGGAGACGAGUACAGUGGCGAAAGGGUGAGUAAUGCAUAGAUAACCUGCCCUCAAGACGGGAAUAACUUCUCGAAAGAGAUGCUAAUACCCGAUGUGACCUCAGGUUUACGGACCUGCGGUUAAAGAUAGCUUCGGCCUUCGCUUGAGGUGUGGUCUAUGUCCUAUUAGCUUGUUGGUGAGGUAACGGCUCACCAAGGCAUCGAUGGGUAGCCGACCUGAGAGGGUGACCGGCCACACUGGGACUGAGACACUGCCCAGACUCCUACGGGAGGCUGCAGUCGAGAAUCUUCCGCAAUGCGCGCAAGCGUGACGGAGCGACGCCGCGUGAGGGAUGAAGGCCUUCGGGUUGUAAACCUCUGUCACCUGGGAAGAAAGGUAGGUGGUUAAUAGCUGUCCUGCUUGACGUUACCAGGGGAGGAAGCACCGGCUAAAUACGUGCCAGCAGCCGCGGUAAUACGUAUGGUGCAAACGUUGUUCGGAAUCACUGGGCUUAAAGAGCACGUAGGCGGUUGGAAAAGUUCGAUGUGAAAUCCCACGGCUCAACUGUGGAACUGCAUCGGAAACUAUUCAACUAGAGUGCAGGAGGGGAGAGUGGAAUUCCUGGUGGAGCGGUGAAAUGCGUAGAUAUCAGGAGGAACGCCGGUGGCGAAAGCGACUCUCUGGCCUGUUACUGACGCUGAGGUGCGAAAGCUAGGGGAGCGAACGGGAUUAGAUACCCCGGUAGUCCUAGCCCUAAACGAUGAGUACUGGAUCGAGGGGACUCCCACAUCUUCUCGGUCGUAGCGAAAGUGUUAAGUACUCCGCCUGGGGAGUAUGGUCGCAAGGCUGAAACUCAAAGGAAUUGACGGGGGCUCACACAAGCGGUGGAGGAUGUGGCUUAAUUCGAGGCUACGCGAAGAACCUUAUCCUGGUCUUGACAUGCUUGAGAACCUCCUCGAAAGCAGAGAGUGCCUUCGGGAGCCUUUACACAGGUGCUGCAUGGCUGUCGUCAGCUCGUGUCGUGAGAUGUCGGGUUAAGUCCCUUAACGAGCGAAACCCUUGUCCCUAGUUGCCAGCGAGUAAUGUCGGGGACUCUAGGGAGACUGCCGGUGUUAAACCGGAGGAAGGUGGGGAUGACGUCAAGUCCUCAUGGCCUUUAUGACCAGGGCUGCACACGUCCUACAAUGCGGCGUACAAAGGGAAGCAACCUCGCGAGAGCAAGCAAAUCCCAAAAAGCGUCGCUCAGUUCGGAUUGCAGGCUGCAACUCGCCUGCAUGAAGCCGGAAUCGCUAGUAAUCGCGGGUCAGCAUACCGCGGUGAAUAUGUUCCUGAGCCUUGUACACACCGCCCGUCAAGCCACGAAAGUGGGGUGCGCCCGAAGUCGCUGUCGUAACUGUUUACAGAGCAAAGCGCCGAAGGUGAACUCCGCGAUUGGGACUAAGUCGUAACAAGGUAACC
rnacentral:rRNA from 1 species